rnacentral:rRNA from 1 species
AUUGAACGCUGGCGGCAGGCCUAACACAUACAAGUCGAGCGGAUGAGAGGAGCUUGCUUCUCGAUUCAGCGGCGGACGGGUGAGUAAUGCCUAGGAAUCUGCCUGGUAGUGGGGGACAACGUUUCGAAAGGAACGCUAAUACCGCAUACGUCCUACGGGAGAAAGCAGGGGACCUUCGGGCCUUGCGCUAUCAGAUGAGCCUAGGUCGGAUUAGCUAGUUGGUGAGGUAAUGGCUAACCAAGGCGACGAUCCGUAACUGGUCUGAGAGGAUGAUCAGUCACACUGGAACUGAGACACGGUCCAGACUCCUACGGGAGGCAGCAGUGGGGAAUAUUGGACAAUGGGCGAAAGCCUGAUCCAGCCAUGCCGCGUGUGUGAAGAAGGUCUUCGGAUUGUAAAGCACUUUAAGUUGGGAGGAAGGGUUGUAGAUUAAUACUCUGCAAUUUUGACGUUACCGACAGAAUAAGCACCGGCUAACUCUGUGCCAGCAGCCGCGGUAAAAC